rnacentral:rRNA from 1 species
ACGCAUGUCUAGAGUUUGAAAGAUGGUUCUGCUAUCACUCUUGGAUGGACCUGCGGUGCAUUAGCUAGUUGGUAAGGUAACGGCUUACCAAGGCAAUGAUGCAUAGCCGAGUUGAGAGACUGAUCGGCCACAUUGGGACUGAGACACGGCCCAAACUCCUACGGGAGGCAGCAGUAGGGAAUCUUCCACAAUGGACGAAAGUCUGAUGGAGCAACGCCGCGUGAGUGAAGAAGGGCUUCGGCUCGUAAAGCUCUGUUGGUAGUGAAGAAAGAUAGAGGUAGUAACUGGCCUUUAUUUGACGGUAAUUACUUAGAAAGUCACGGCUAACUACGUGCCAGCAGCCGCGGUAAUACGUAGGUGGCAAGCGUUGUCCGGAUUUAUUGGGCGUAAAGCGAGUGCAGGCGGUUCAAUAAGUCUGAUGUGAAAGCCUUCGGCUCAACCGGAGAAUUGCAUCAGAAACUGUUGAACUUGAGUGCAGAAGAGGAGAGUGGAACUCCAUGUGUAGCGGUGGAAUGCGUAGAUAUAUGGAAGAACACCAGUGGCGAAGGCGGCUCUCUGGUCUGCAACUGACGCUGAGGCUCGAAAGCAUGGGUAGCGAACAGGAUUAGAUACCCUGGUAGUCCAUGCCGUAAACGAUGAGUGCUAAGUGUUGGGAGGUUUCCGCCUCUCAGUGCUGCAGCUAACGC